rnacentral:rRNA from 1 species
AUUGAACGCUGGCGGAAUGCUUUACACAUGCAAGUCGAGCGGCAGCGCGGGGGCAACCCUGGCGGCGAGCGGCGAACGGGUGAGUAACAUAUCGGAACGUACCCCGUCGUGGGGGAUAACACAGCGAAAGCUGUGCUAAUACCGCAUACGACCUGAGGGUGAAAGCGGGGGAUCGCAAGACCUCGCGCGAUGGGAGCGGCCGAUAUCGGAUUAGCUUGUUGGUGAGGUAAAGGCUCACCAAGGCGACGAUCCGUAGCUGGUCUGAGAGGACGACCAGCCACACUGGAACUGAGACACGGUCCAGACUCCUACGGGAGGCAGCAGUGGGGAAUUUUGGACAAUGGGGGCAACCCUGAUCCAGCCAUUCCGCGUGAGUGAAGAAGGCCUCGGUGUAAGCUCUUUCUAGCAGGAACGAAACGGUAGG